rnacentral:rRNA from 1 species
AGAAUGAACGCUGGCGGCGUGCUUAACACAUGCAAGUCGAACGGAAUCCAAGGAGCUUGCUCUGGAAGAUUUAGUGGCGAACGGGUGAGUAUCACGUGAGCAACCUGCCCCGAAGACUGGGAUAACACCGGGAAACCGGUGCUAAUACCGGAUACCUUCCAAUGACCGCAUGGUCGAUGGAAGAAAUGUUUUUCGCUUCGGGAGGGGCUCGCGGUCCAUCAGCUUGUUGGCGGGGUAACGGCCCACCAAGGCUUCGACGGAUAGCUGGUCUGAGAGGACGAUCAGCCACACUGGAACUGAGAAACGGUCCAGACUCCUACGGGAGGCAGCAGUGGGGAAUCUUGCGCAAUGGACGAAAGUCUGACGCAGCAACGCCGCGUGAGGGACGAAGGUUUUCUGAAUUGUAAACCUCUUUCGACAGGGACGAUAAUGACGGUACCUGUAGAAGAAGCACCGGCCAACUAUGUGCCAGCAGCCGCGGU